GCGGCAACAGCAUGGAGGUGACAUUUAAUCUCAAGAUCUACCCACUGCUGUUGCUCAACAUUAGCUUGGCCCUUUCAAAGAACACAAGCAUGUUCUGGGCAUCUACUUUUUUUAUAUACAUAAUCUCGCUUAAUCCUCACAAGUGAGAUUUAUACAGCAGCCUCUCUUGCAGAAGCACAGUUCACGCAGAACAUGUGCAUGUGGCAGAAACAUCGGCGAUGGGCAAAAUCUGCUAAUGGAUUGAACCUAGAGGAAAGAACCAGCAAAGCCAAGUCAUGAUUCUAGAUCCACCACAAGAUCAUUUGUGCUCAGUUUCCCUUAAAAUGCAAUAGACAACAUUAAGCAGAAUGUUCUGAACCUAUGUUCUCACCUUUACUCCUUAAUGGAGAGCUGCAUGGGGGAAGUGCAUCGGUUUCAGGCCCAACUUGGUCGCCAAACCACUGCUGGGUGUCAUCUCUUCACCUCUACAAUGGGAGUUUGGAAUGAGGCAUUCUUCAAUGUUCCUUCAGUUCUAAUCAUGUUCUACAUUAAUUGGUACACAUGCAUGCACACACACACUCCAAUGUAACCACAUAUAAAGGCAUGGACAAAGUUGUUUCCCUCAUCUCUCAAAACACUGUUGAAGUUCCAACCCCCAGUACCUCAGAAUGUGACUUUAUUUGGAGAUAGGGCCUUAAAUAGGUGAUUAACUUAAAAUGAGGCCAUUAAAGUAGGGCUCUAAUGGAUUAUGACUGGUGUCUAUUUUUAAGAGGAGGAAAAGACACAAGGGAUGCAUGUGAAGAGAGAGAAGGGCAUGUGAGGACACAAGGAAAAAGGACACCGUCUGCAAGCCAAGGAGAGAGCCCUCGGAAGGAACCCACCCUGACAACACCUUGACCUUGGACUUCCAGCUUCCAGAACUGUGAGAAAUACAUUUAUGUUGUUUAAGCUGCCCAGUCUGGUAUUUUGUGUGUUGCAAAUAUGUCCCCUUUCUAUCAAGGAAGAUCUGCAUUGAUGCUCUGAUCCCAAAUGUAUGUGCAACAUGAGAGAAACUGAAGAUUUGUCUGGAAGACCCAGACUUGGAUCCAAAUGGUGCAGUUGGAAUAACUUCCUUCAGGAAGAUAAUCCAUACUGAUGUGGUUUAUGGCUGACCUUUAACCACAACCUCAUGGCAUGUCUUCGUUCUCUUGAAACCUGCAGCAGAACAAGCCUCAUGCUGGAAAAGCCAUGGCUGACAUGGGCUUCUCCCCUUUGCUAAGAUUCACGAAGACCCAGAAAAUUCUACAAGUAUUUACUGAGCACUCAUCAUGCACUGGGAGUGGUGCAAGACACAAGAUAAAUAAAACUGGGGCCUCCUGCCCCUGGAGAACUUACAAGUGAAGGAUGAUGGACAUACAAGCAGCUCCACUAAGCCAGAUGGUGUUUUGCUCAAGAAACUAAAUGCUAUGGAAGUUUUAUCUGUGAGGAAUUAUAUUUCAUUACGAAUAAAAGAAGUCCUAGGGAAAAGUGGCUCAAACAAGUAAGGACUUUAUUUUUCCUAUACAACUAGAAUUCCAGAAGUUCAUGGUUGCUGGUGUUGCUUCAAGGCUUCAAAGAUGUUAGGGUCAAGGUCUUUGCAACAACUGUUUUCCCCCAGCUUUAUUAAGAUGUAAUUGAC
rnacentral:lncRNA from 1 species